GUGCUUGUUUCAGAAGCACAUAUAAUAAAUAGGAACGAUCUGGAGAAGAUUAGCAUUACCCCCACCAGGGACAACAUGCAAAUUUGUGAAGCAUUCCAUAUGUUU